GAAUGGAAAAAAUUAUUUAAUUUUUUUAUUAUUUUUUUUUGUUAUAAAAAGAAAUUUUUGUUUAAGUAUUAGUUAAGAAAAAAUUAUUUUUUAUUAUAGUCUAUUAGUAUUGUAAAAGAAAUUUUUAUAUAAUUUAAAGAAAAAUUUUAUUUUUGUACCUUGUGUAUCAGGGCUGAUUAAUUAAUAAUUAAAUAUUUAGUAUUCUCGAAUUUAAAAGAGCUAAUUAUUUAUUAAUUUUAUUGUGAAAUAAAUAUUUAUAAUAAAUAAUUAGAAAUGAAACGUUAUUCGUUUUUAAAUAUAUCUAGUUUUUAAAGAAAUAAAUUUAAUUUAUAUAUUAAUAUUUAAAUUUUUAAAUUUUUAAUUUUUUAUUUAUUAAUAAUAAAUUUUUUUAGGGAUAAGCUUAAAAAAAAAUUUUUAUAACUAAUAUUUUAUAAAAUAAUUUAUAGGAUUAUAAUUUUCUAAUAAUAAAAAAAUGUUAUAAUUAAUUAUUUAAAAUAUAUUAUUUUUAUUUAGUUUAAAUUUUUUAUUUAAAUUUUAUUAUUAAUUUUAUAUGAUAAGAAAUUAUGAUUAAAUUAGUAAAGUUUAAUGUAUAAUUAAUUUAAUUUAAAAGGUUAAAUUAAGGAAUUCGGCAAAAUUAUUUUUCACCUGUUUAAUAAAAACAUGUCCUUAUGAUUAUAAUUUAAGGUCUGAUCUGCCCACUGAAGUUUUAAAUGGCCGCGGUAUUUUGACCGUGCAAAGGUAGCAUAAUAAUUAGUUUCUUAAUUAGAAGCUGGAAUGAAUGAUUGGAUGAGAAAAUAACUGUCUCAAUUUAAUUUAGAUUUGAAUUUUAUUUUUAAGUUAAAAAGCUUAAAUAAUAUUAAAAGACGAGAAGACCCUAUAGAGUUUAAUAAUUUUAGUAUUUUAAAUAUUAUAGUUUGGAGAUUUUGAUAUAUUAAUAUUAUUUUGUUGGGGUGAUAAAAAAAUUAAAAUAACUUUUUUUAUAUUUUUACAUUAAUGAAUGAAUAAUUGAUCCUUAUUUUUGAUUAUAAGAUAAAAUUACCUUAGGGAUAACAGCGUAAUUUUUUUUGAGAGUUCUUAUCGAAAA
rnacentral:rRNA from 1 species